rnacentral:tRNA from 1 species
CUAUCGCUUUUAUUGUGGAGUAGCUGAUAGAGUUAUCUCCCCCAAGUAUGAGCGGCACCCAAUCCGGAUGGUCCG